CUGAGAUGAACUUCAACUAAAAUCCGCACGUCCUGUUGCGAACGUUGAAGCCAGCACUUCCUGUGCA
rnacentral:sRNA from 2 species